rnacentral:tRNA from 1 species
UGGCUCAGCUUGGUAGAGCACUUGCUUGGGGUGCAAGAGGUCGCUGGUUCAAAUCC